GUGAGUGCUUAGUUGCUGCAGCAUGGAGAUAUAAAGAUCAUGCAAGCAACUGAAAUCAUAAGAAUACCCUUGUUCAUGCAUUGGUUGAUCUCAAGCUGAAAGAGCAUCAGCCUUCACGAUGUUCCUGGCCUAUCAAACAGGGGAGGUCUAGCAGGAACCAAACCUGAUCUUGUAAAGCAAUGCGAUUCCAGUGGCAGGAAAUCAAAUAGCUUACCAAAUCUAUUCUAAGGCAUUCAUGAUUUACAUUCUGUAUGUGGUUAGCAUCUAGCUGUAGUAUAGACU
rnacentral:misc_RNA from 1 species